rnacentral:tRNA from 1 species
GCCUCGGUAGUGUAGUGGUCAAGACGCUCGCCUGGUAAACAGACGUGGGUUCAAUGCCAUCCGAGGCA